CUCUUUUGUUUUCUCUUCCCUCUUUCUCUUCUACGACUCUUUUGUCUCUUUCCAAUCUUCUGUCUAGCCCACUUCCACCAUGGCCACUCUUACCUUUCUCUUUUCUCCUAGCUGCCUCAUCUCUCUCUUCUCUUCAAUCUCUUUCUCUUCUCUCCAUCCCUCUCUUCUCUUUGUGUUUCUCCCUAUGUCACUCAUCUCUUUCUUCACGACUGAAAGAGAGAUUUAAGACUACCGCGUCUGUGAUGUGUGAGUGUGUUUCUGUGAUGUGUGAGUGAGUGUCUGUGAUGUAUGUGUGUGUGUCUAGAUUAACAAAACUAUGUCUUGUCUUCACAUUGCUUCCGUCUCUUCGUUUAGUACUAGCACUUCAUGUGCUGCCAACUCUCUCGCUUUGAUGCCACUAAUGCCAACGACCCAAGCCAUACAUUGAAUUCAACGCGCACACAUUAGUCAUCAAAGGCAGCUGUUUUGUUUUCAUUAGUAGCUCGAAAAUAUGACACCCCUGAUACAUUAAACUAGUCAUUACGCAUCUAUCGACCAACCGCCUCUACAUCUUAACGCUGCGCUCUAUUUAUCCCCAUC
rnacentral:sRNA from 1 species